rnacentral:lncRNA from 1 species
GAAUGAAUGGAUAAAUAAAUAAAUAAACGAAAACUGAGGGGGAGCCAAGGAGUCCUAAGAGCAAUAUCCACUAUGAAUUUUAUUACAGGAGUUCAGGAAAGAAAAUAAUUGUUUACAAGAUCAGUAUCACAAGGACUUGGAGAAUGUCCAGGGGAGCAGAUACGGGGGAAAUGAUGAAUAGCUUGGAAACACUUGAGCUGGGAAGUUUUCUUCUCGUUACAGCAAUGCUCCCUUAGAUGCAGUUCUCUCUUGAGCUGAAACAGAACCGUACUUUGUAGCUGCUACUUAAGUCCUCCAUAAAUUCUCCAAGCUUUCUGAGCGGAGCAGAGCCUCCACCACGGCAGCCAAGGACCUGGCCCUGUCGGUGAGCUCUAAAAGCUGGCUCCAGGUUCAGGUUUCCCUAAGGCCGCAAAAGUAGUUCAUCUGUGGUUGCUCUGGUGGAUGCAGAAAGUCAGACCUCCAUAAUGAACCAAAAAAAGGCUUAAAGAAAAUCCUAGAACGUGUUUCUCUUCUCCAGAAAAAGAAAUAUUAAAAGAGAAUUGUAAAUAGCUGAAGUCUGUAAGAAACGGAAUAGCUGUUCCUCCGACGUCUCUGCAGCUUAACAAAAUGUUACAGCCCAGUGGAACAAGCACUUAAUUUCAGAAUCUGAAUCAACGUUUAUUGUGGCAAAGGAAAUGGUAUUUUUGUUAAAAGUAUGCUAUUCGUCAGGGGCUUUCCUGUAUAUGGCUUUUUUAUUCAGCCAAAGUGAGGCUUUCAUUUUAUUUCUGGUCUCGCAAAUACAGAUUUUCUCUCUGCUUGCAUUUUGAAGGAGUCAGAGAGCUUUUGAAAGGUCAUUCAUGUACAUUCAUUAUGAGCUCUGCUACGAAUUCUGUAUAUUUAGCUCACGGACAAAUUGAGUGGCCACUUACAGCACAGGUCUAGAUGGAAAAUGGCCUUGAUUGAUACCUGGGUAACCAUGGGUUUAGAGAAAUACUGUUUAGGACCAGAUGGUCUUGAAUGGCAGCCCAUGGUCCUUCUCAGGUAUUCUUGUGGCAAAGCUUUACUGCCUCAGGGUGAACGAAUGUGAACACUGAUGCAAUUACAGGUGCAUAUGACAAUAAAGCCAAAGAACUGUAAUUUGAUCAAUAAAGUAUACAUAUCUUGUUGAUACAAAAUGUGACCCAGAUUGGCAGAACUCACUGGCCAGCGAGCAAUGGUCUCCUUAGCAGCACAGUGAAAGUACCUCUGCCUUGUGCUGCUCUAGAGAGGCCUGCCUGGAUAACGCCUGACACCCAGCCCUGGUUGGACCAGGAGAGUGGUGGUGGGCACCAAACAAAAAGGAGGUGAUGGAAGCUGAGAUCUGUGCAAUAAGACAACAAAGCUCAACAUUUCUUUUAACAUGAUCAGCAGGGAGAGGGCAGCGGGUAAGAGUACAAUGGGAAAGUCAGAGGAGAGAUUCUGAACUAAAAACAAAAUAGAAAGGAAAAGUGCUGCGUGGGAGAGAGGAAGGGAAAGAUGCUAGACAGCAGAUAGAAAGGGGAAAUCAGUGCAACAGAGCUGUGGCUGAUGGAGUUACAUUGGUUGUGUAGUGGGAAAUGAGAAAAAGGACAGUAAAUGAGUUUUGUAAUAGGAAUGGAGAACCACAGACAGAACAAAGGAAGAAGACAGGGAACAGAGACAGAAAAUGUUAUUUUAAGAAAAAGGAAUAAGUAAAGGGAAACUGAAAGAAGGUCAAACAGUUAUUGGUGUCAGGAACAAAAAUGAUCAAUGUGAAAGCGUAUAGAAAUAUGAAUACGUGAAGACAGUGGAAAAAAUGGAGAGAGGUUAAUCAGAAUAUCACACAAUUAUAUGGGAACGGGGAGAGGUGUAAGAACAGACAAGAGAGGAUCAACAGUAAGAAAUCACACAGGAUAAGAUAUCUGGGUUUGCAGUUCACUGUAAUGGUUUGGCACUCAAUCAGCUGGCUAUUAAAGUACUGUGACUGCUGAGUCUGAAAGGGGUUCACUUCUGCCUUUUCACAUUUGGGUAUGAAAUGACCCCAUGACUAACUGCAGACAAUGCUGGGAAGGCGCGCUCUGAGGUGGCAGAAGGGGAGAGUUCCCCAUGGGAAGAAGGAGCAGUUUCUUCCCAAAAAGCUCCACUUGGGGGCUUCAGCUCAAAGUCAAGGCUAAGCUUUCUGUAAUGGCUCUUUAACAGGAGCUUGCACAGGAAGGAGUUUUGUAAUCGAUAGACCUCAAUGCAUUUACAUAUUGCUGCAGAAAUACUAAUUUGGAACAGGAGGCACGCAGCAACAGAGACACUCAGCUGCUCUUCCUGUAUGCUCAACUCCAGCAGACCAAAGUGAGCUGGAGGCAACAGAUGUCAGGUCAGCACUAAGUUAUCUGUUGUGCCAUUGGUUGGACCGCUUUCAUUUCCUCAUUGGAGCUGCUGCUUUUCUAAAUAAGGAUUUUGGUGGGCAGUGACUCGGGUAGCAUCACCUGGUCAGUAUGGUGAAAUCACUCAAUGUAGCCCACUUGCUUUCAUUUCCAAGCACUGAUUGUGGCCCAUGGUGUGUCUUUGUGCCUUCUGCAGGAGCAGCUCCCUCCCAAGCACCUUCUGGUCGAGAUCCCCAGCUGCCAUCUCCGGAAAGUGGGGCCAGCUGCAGCCACCCCAGGUCUCACCGAGUUGGAAAGAGCUGAGAUGGAGUUGCUGAGAGGUCUGACUUAGGGCAUGUUUUCUUCCCAUGGGGAAGCUCUCUUGCUCAAUCCCAUGCUGCACUCGUUCCACCAUGUGUGCAUAAGCACUCAGAGAAAUAGAUCCUUGAAGGUUCCCCAAAGAAAAUGAAUUAUUUACCCAUUAUUUACACUCUUGCCAAGCACCUUACUACUCAACUAUGGCAGUGUGUGUGCUUUCUCUUAUUCUCCUGCUGGAGUGCUCCUAUGUAGGAUUAAUUUACUCUUCAGUGAAGCAGAAAGAUGUUGGCAGAAUAACUGAUUUGAUAGCUCAGUGAUUCUGUCAUGCUCUUGUUAUGCAGGGGACCAAGUCUUCUCUCUGGCCUAAAAAAGCAUUACUCCUGACAGUCUAGGAGACACUGCAGGCCAUUUGCCUCCUACCCCUAGAAGCACCACAGGGACAACUAGGUGAAAAAAAAUUAUUAUUAUUAUUAUAUUUUGGUGGCAAGAACAAAACUACCAAAAAUGAAAUGUUUUAAUUUGUCUGCAUUGGAAAGGGAAAAAAAGCUCUGAUGAGAUACAAGUUUCAUCUCAGAACUUGGAACAGUAUGGUUUUUAUCUUCAUUUGAGGCUAUUUUUAACUGAGAAUGUUCCUCUAAAAUAAUGCUUAUGAAGAGGUUUGAUUCUCUUUAAGUCUCUUCAAUUUUGAGCUGAGUGUUUAUUUAUGAACUGCUAGCAAAUAAUAUAAAAUAAAAUAAAAGCUACACAGCUUUCCAUCAAUGCAAGAAUUAUUCCAAUUCCAAGAAUUACACAUUUUUUCACUGAAUGGCAUGACACUGAUUUGAAUGAGAGAUGUUAAAUUGAAAAAAAAAAAAAAAAAAAAAAGAAAGAAAGAAAAGGAGAAGGAACUGCUGCAGGCUGUGGAUGAAUUACUCAAUUGAGUAAGGACUAGAAGAGCAAAACACAGAAGAGCAAAACACAGACAGGGACGCAGAAGGUUGCUGUAUAAUGCACUUAAUGACUGAGACCUUAUCAGUGCCAAACCAGGAAUUCAGAUCCAGUGACAAAGUCAGCAAAUACCUCGCAGUACCAUGCUAAAUCUUCACAUCCAGCUCGAAAAGACCAGCAAUUUAUAGAAAGGGCUCAGACUGUCUCAAUGUUUCAGUAGUUGUUACAAGCUGUAAUACUUAGGAACAUUACUGCACAGCUGCAGUGUGUUUCUGAAAAAGGGGAAGGGAUGCUUCUCUGUGAAACAGUCAUUUAGCAGCUGGUUUAUUACUGGUUUUGCUAUCAGUUACCUUUCUCUGCAGGCAAAUCACCAUUUCCCUUUGAGAUGAAUAAGGAUGUAUCCCAGUACCUACUAAAGGUAAAAGGGGUUUUCUUUCCCUGCUUUCAGUGGAUCUCCUGGUGAGCACUGUGGAGAUAAAGCUUUGAUGUGUUAGGCUGUCAAUAUUUUUAACCGGCCAUGUUGAUAAGACUGCUGCUGAACCUCUGUAGUAUUUCGUAGCAGGAAGACAGAAAUGAUUUCUCCAGACUGACUUCUCUUCUGGGUACCACAGCCACAAAAGCAUUCGGAGUGAGUUAUUCAAGACCUCAUUAGACUAAACUGCCUACACUUAUUUGCUGCAUACAAGAUUCAGGAGCCGAUAUCUCAAAUGCUGUCAAUAACUAUAGAUCAGGGUGCGCACACACACAUGUACACUAUUAUGUUAUGGUUAGAGAGUACAGUGGGGAACAGAUAAGCACAAAAACAAAAAUUAAGAAAAAUUUUCAUAUAUCAAACAAACAAACAAACAAGCAAAAACAUUGAUCUUACUGUCCAUAAUUAAAUCUGAAUGAUUCCAAGAUGCUACUAAAGUGACCUGGAUUUUCAUCCCAAUCAGCUGACUAGCACAGUUUAUGUGUAAUAACUCUCAGACUUCCUUUGCUCAAAGUUUCCAGCAUUAACAAAAAAAAUACUCUGGUCUGAAACAUACAUAAAUAUAGAAAUAUCUGCUACAAAUGUAUCUGAAACAGCCAUAGACCCAGGCCUUAUUAAAUUAUUAAAUUUCUCCCCAGUUUUCUUUCCCACUCUUUGAGUGGUAAAGUGGUCUCCAAGUAGAAGUCAGUCGUGAGUAAAAUGUUGGGAAGAUGCAUCCAGCUGACAAAGCACCCCCAAGAAAAGGUAAAGGAAAAGAAACAACAAAAUUUGUCUAAUCAGACCCCAGAAGCUCCAGUUAAUUCUGGAAAACGCCUGAUGAAGACUUGUCAGAAUAAGGCUAUGGACUGUCUAUAUAAGGCUAUGGCUGACAAUGCUCAGGUCAUUCAUUCAAGCAAUGAAACCAGUUCAAGGAAGACAGUUAUGACAAAUACAAGUAGAUUAAUCAUUUCAGUGACACACUCACUGCUUUAGGCUCAUUGCAGCUUAACCUAGCAGAGCUGCAGGAGGCCUCAGGACUCCAAAGUGUGAGCAGAAAGCCCAGCAGUUUUGGAGGUGUUGUGCUGGAGGUGGCACGUGUGGUGAAAGCUGUGAGAGUGGAGAAAAGCCGUGAUGAUGAGUGGAUGCUGGCUCCAGUGUGCUUCUAUAGCUUCUGUUACUGCUCUCUGGGGCUUAGGUUUGUUGGAAUUAUUUCUGUGGUUGCUUUCCAAAUGUUUCUGGAAAUUUCAGUACCAGCCUUGAGGCUCACUGGCUGGAUGUUGGCAUGACUCAAGAAGGAAAAAUGCAUCCAGAGUUUCCAGCGGGGACAUUAUUUUUGGUUUGGUUGUGAUAGAAUCUGAGGAAUAUAUGCAUUUUUUUUUUCCUGGUUUGGUAAGAGGCCUAAUUGUCAUGUCAUCCUGUGAAAUAAAUUCAAGAGAAAUAUAUGCAUCUGGAAAAGUGUACAAUGACAACCCCAGUAUCACCAGGACUUUGAAUUAACUGCAUUCUGUUGACAUAUUCCUUGAAAGCUCACAGGUAUAAAUUCCAAUACAAAACACAGGGAUCUGCAUUCUCUGCUCUGUUGUGCUCUCCAUGCAUUAAACAGACUGUGUUAAACAGGCAUUGGAAAUUGCAGGCAACUUCAAAAUACUACAAACUUGCUGUGACAUGCUAUGCGUUGGUAUUAUGGAUCCAGUAUUGCAUCUCAGUAAGAGCUAGAACAGGAAAAGAGUGAAAAGGAACAGAAGGGAGAUGAUGUGCUUCAGUCAUUCUUAAGUCACCCAAAUAAAUGCCUGUUGGUAUCACUGCCAUUAAUCCCCCUCGGCUGGUCUAACCAGGGACAGAGGAGAUUCAAAGACAUACAGUGAAGUUCAAGGCACUUCAUUUCAUUUGGUGGAAAUUGUAUGUAGUUGUUUACGUAGAUCUGGACCUUAAUGUUUUUUGGUGAUUGUUUUAUAAAUAUGUGCAGGCACUUCCAAAACAAACCAGGGAGGUGACUGGAGUAAUUUCUUCUGCAGUACAUUUAGAUUCAGAGCACUCUGCUGAUGGAGAAAGAGGGAAAUCAGUUACAAUACACCCUGCUCCCCAACAAAGACACUCCCAACACUGGAGACUGACUGGCUUUCCGAGAGGAGAUGAGGUCAGAUCCAAGUAGCAGUGAAGUUAUUUAGAGCUGAGAAAAGAAACACGUUUGAAUUUUAGGGUGGAAAUAGGUCUAUGUUGAGGUUUCAGAAGCAGGGCAACAUUCUCAGAGAGGUGAGAAAUGGAAAAUAUUUUCAUGGCAAUAGUUUGGGCAGGCUGAACAGACGGAGGGAGAAAAGUUGUGGUCAGAAGUGGCAAGAAUCUUGAAACAAUCAGUGCAUAGGCUAGUGUUGAGAUGGUGUUGAUUGGGAAGGGAGAGAGAAAACUGUUUUAAGAAAAACACAGUUGUAAGGUUUUAAAAACAAGUGGAGGAGGAAUGGAGUAACUGGUUUAGUGACCUAGUCAGCAGGGAGUGCUAACAGUAAGAGAAAAGUGAAUAAGAGUAAUGGUAUGUACAGCUCCCAAGCAGCUGGCCUUCACACCAGUCUAACUUUGUCAGAAUGCUAUUUCCUACCUCUGUGCACAUUGCAAUCAGCACAGUUCAGAAUACUCAGAGCAACAAAUACACACUUACUUACUGACCCAAAAAUGUAAAGUUAAAGGGAUUCCUUGAAUUAAGGGUAGUUCGCUGGAACAAAACUAUUUGAAUAAGGGAAGUUUUGGCUGCCUUCUCCAAUAGGUAUUUUGCAAAAUGCAAAUGAGUAGCAAAGAAACUCCUUUUCUUUCCUUUUGUUUUUGUUAUACUCAUUUGCAAGUGUGCCAGCAGUUCCCAGCAUUUCCUUACUGUUAUCUCCAGCUCCACAGAACAGCUACUGUUGUAGUGAUCUUGAUAAGGGUGCAGCUGGCAAUGUGACCACUACAUAUCAGUUGUAUGUAACGUGAUAUUUGUUCUCCCCGCUUACAUGGUACAAAAGGCUACUGUAAUGAUCUUUCCUGUUCUCUAUUUACAAAGCAAAUUAAAGAUGAUCCCAUCAGUCCUUUAACUUUACUUCCUUCCUUCUCUCCAGCCAUACCUUGGACCUGUUGUGCCCAGUGAUGCCUAUUGCUUCCACUGGGUCAUUUCAGGGCAACUGUUUUCAGCAGCCCGGCUCUGCAGUAUUCCCUUGCUUGCAACACAGAGAGAAAUUUCAGUGAGACAUCUGACCAAAUGAGAGCAUUUUCAGGUGUGGGGCAAAACCAACAAUUUCAGUGAUUAUUUUGCUCAUCAUCAUUAUUCAGAAUAAGGGUGGAUGAGCAACUGGAUGGCUUACAGAGCAAGGGAAGGAGGGCAGGCCUUUAUUUUACAGUCAUCCAAAUAUAGUCUAUGCUGACAGCGACUGAAGCAACCCUUACGUAAUGGUGCUUCACCAAGUGGAAUAAAAGCAGGGGUGAACUCAGCAUCACUCCUGUCAGACAGAAGGGAAUGGCAUACAUAAGCCUCCUUCACAAUUGGAAUUACCAGGUAGCUUUAUUGGAUGCCUAUUUGGAAAGAGUAAAUAGUAAAUAAUUAGCUCCUGCAGCUCUCUGAAGGCACAUAUGUGCAGAGUGCAACCUGAGAAGCUCAGAGCCUGCAGCGUGCUGGGUCUGGGUGGGACUGCCAGCCCCUGUUUUGGAGAUUCCUGCAGACAGAGUUGUUGCAAACUGCUUUCAAAAGCACUGUCUCACAGGAAAGCUCUUUAACUCAGCCUGAGGCUUUAUCAGGAUUACAGCACUAUCUCUCUUUCAAUGUAUUAGCACCAAAUAGAUUGCACAAACCAGCAGGAAGUUUUCACACUUGGAGCUCAAGCUUUUCUCCUGGAACUGAGGAAUAUGAUGGAUGUGCUGCCAUCAGUUUAUUUCAAGCAAAACUGAUAGCCAAUUGAGAGCACAGAAACCUGCUGAAUUAAAUUCAUCUCCUUAAUGGUAUUUAAGCUUUGGCACAAGUAAAUAUUUUUUUAGCAACUAUUAUGAAAUAUAGAGUCAUUAAUUCCCCCAACUAAUGAUUAGACAAAUGCAGUAUUUUCAAUUAGGAUUUAUGUAUACCUUUGCGAGUCAUUUUGUCUGUAAAUACAGACUUUGCAUUCAUCACUAGAAUUAUUCAGCCUUUUUUUUUUUUUUUUUAAUCUGCUUCUUUUUUCUUCUCAACAUGUUACCAUGCCUCUGUAGAAGAGCACCAAUGUCUUUACAGCAGGAGCUUCAUAGCUUAAGAUCAGCUUUUUCCCUUCCCUUGGCACCAGUUUGGAGAGAAGCAACCCCAUUCUCAUAGCCCACAUCCAGCUGGAGGUGGGUGAAUGGAGAUACACGAACAUUCAAGACCCUAUCUUCCAGCUGAUACAAGAUGUAGGUGUCUGCCUUCCCAUCAUGAUUUCUAUCCAGCAAAUCUUUCUCAUUCAGAAUUUUGUGGAAGUCUUUUCAUUUGUUAAAAAAAAAAAAAGAAAAAGAAAAAGAAAACAAAAAAAAAGGUAUUUCUCUUAAUUUUCAUCUGUGGUUCCUCCUUCCUAGACUAUGUACCACAAGGAAGAAAAAAGCACCUAAAUAGCUUGAUCAGCCUGGAAGGCUUCUCCCUCCCAGCCUUAAGUCACCCCGUAUUCACAACCUUGCUAAGUGUUUCUUCCUUUUUAUAACAAUACCAGAAGGCCCAGGAACAGGGUGUUGUGGGUUUUUUUUAACUUUCUUAGAUGGGUUCCCAAAAUAUCAUCAAAAUGAUCUCACAAACACAUAACCUACUUCCACACGCAAACAAGCAGGCUGGCUACAGAAUUAUCAGUGAAAAUUCCUUGUCCAGAGGUUCUAGUUCUCACUUCUGUUUUCCCUCAUGAAUUUGGCCAUCAGCAUUAAAUUCCAGAAUCAAUUAAAAUAUGAACCAACAGAGGAAACGAAGUAUAUAAACCCUGCAGAAAAUGGUGAUAGAGGUCGGUAGGCAAUAAUUAUAUACACUUACCAACAAGAGAGCUUGGUCUGUCAUACAGGAAAAAUGCUGAUCAGCGCAUUAUACAGAGAGCUGCUUGUAGCUAGAUGUACCCUCACUGUCAUUAGGUGCAGGUGGCAUCAGUCUCGCAGAAAGUUGGCAGUACACCGAGUAGAAAACCCA